rnacentral:rRNA from 1 species
UACAGAGGUCCCAAGCGUUGUUCGGAUUUAUUGGGCGUAAAGGGUGCGUAGGCGGCAGUGUAAGUUGGACGUGAAAUCCUGGGGCUCAACCUCAGAAUUGCGUUCAAUACUGCAUUGCUAGGGCGCUGUAGAGGAGAUUGGAAUUUACGGUGUAGCAGUGAAAUGCGUAGAUAUCGUAAGGAAGACCAGUGGCGAAAGCGAAUCUCUGGGCAGCAGCCGACGCUGAGGCACGAAGGCCAGGGGAGCAAACGGG